rnacentral:rRNA from 1 species
GACGAACGCUGGCGGCGUGCUUAACACAUGCAAGUCGAACGGAAAGGCCCUGCUUUUGUGGGGUGCUCGAGUGGCGAACGGGUGAGUAACACGUGAGUAACCUGCCCUUGACUUUGGGAUAACUUCAGGAAACUGGGGCUAAUACCGGAUAGGAGCUCCUGCUGCAUGGUGGGGGUUGGAAAGUUUCGGCGGUUGGGGAUGGACUCGCGGCUUAUCAGCUUGUUGGUGGGGUAGUGGCUUACCAAGGCUUUGACGGGUAGCCGGCCUGAGAGGGUGACCGGCCACAUUGGGACGGAGGUACGGCCCAGACACCUACGGGAGGCAGCAGUAGGGAAUAUUGCACAAUGGGCGGAAGCGUGAUGCAGCAACGCCGCGUGCGGGAUGACGGCCUUCGGGGAGUAAACCGCUUUCGCCAGUGACGAAGCGUGAGUGACGGUAAUGAGUAAAGAAGCACCGGCUAAGUA